UACGUAGGUGGCAAGCGUUGUCCGGAUUUACUGGGCGUAAAGGGCGCGUAGGCGGUUUCGUAAGUCCCGUGUGAAAGCCCCCGGCUCAACUGGGGAACUGCACGGGAAACUGCGAGGCUUGAGUUCGGGAGAGGGAAGCGGAAUUCCGGGUGUAGCGGUGAAAUGCGUAGAUAUCCGGAGGAACACCGGUGGCGAAGGCGGCUUCCUGGACCGACACUGACGCUGAGGCGCGAAAGCUAGGGGAGCAAACGGG
rnacentral:rRNA from 1 species